GGGGUCGUGGCUCAGUGGUAGAGCGCUUGCCUAGCUUGCAUGAGGUACUGGGUUCGAUCCCUGGCACCA
rnacentral:tRNA from 1 species